CAUAUGCAAGGGGCCUGGCAAGCCAUAGGGCCCAAAACAAACAUCCAGGUAUCUCCCUGGGUCUUUGCAGAGUCUCACAGCAUUACAGUCAUCUCUGCUGAAGGUCCACACUGUCACAAGCCCCAGGUUUCAUAGCAUUAGACAUGUUACCACAUCAAUGCUCCCAUACCACAUGGUGCCUGGGUUUACAAGAAGAGUCUUUACCAAACAGAAUUUAAGGUUGAAAGCUUCU